AAGGCAGUCCGUUCUAUCGAUUCGUAAAAGCGAAUAGGAAAGUCCGGGCAACACAGGGCAUCGCACUUCCUAACGGGAAGGCGCUUUGGACUUCGGUUCGGGGCGACAGACAGUGUCACAGAAAGCGAAACCGCCACCCUCGGGUGGUAAGGGUGAAAAAGUGGGGUAAGAGCCCACUCAUCUCGGAGUGAUUCGAGGUUGGGACAAACCUUGCGGGUUGAAAGGUCAAAUAAACCUGGAUCAAAGGGCGGCCCGCCCAAUUGUUUCGGCAAGCCAGGAGGGUAGACCGAUGGAGGUGUAGCGUGAGUUACACCCUAGAUCAAUGAUAGAAGCCCCAGGCAACUGGGGUACAGAACCCGGCUUACAGGACUGCCUUUUUU
rnacentral:RNase_P_RNA from 1 species